rnacentral:tRNA from 1 species
UCUAAUAUGGCAGAAUAGUGCAUUGGACUUAAACCCCAAUUAUAAAGGUAACUUUUUUUAGAA